rnacentral:rRNA from 1 species
AACGAACGCUGGCGGCAUGCCUAACACAUGCAAGUCGAACGAGACCUUCGGGUCGGGUGGCGCACGGGUGCGUAACGCGUUGGAACCUGCCCUUAGGUUCGGAAUAACUCCCCGAAAGGGGUGCUAAUACCGGAUAAUGUCUUCGGACCAACGAUUGAUCUGCUUUGGAUGGGCCCGCGUUGGAUUAGCUAGUUGGUAGGGUAAAAGCCUACCAAGGCGACGAUGCAUAGCUGGUCUGAGAGGAUGAUCAGCCACACUGGGACUGAGACACGGCCCAGACUCCUACGGGAGGCAGGAGUGGGGAAUAUUGGACAAUGGGCGCAAGCCUGAUCAAGCAAUGCCGCGUGAGUGAUGAAGGCCGUAGGGUUGUAAAGCUCUUUUACCCGGGAUGAUAAUGACAGUACCGGGAGAAUAAGCUCCGGCUAACUCCGUG